rnacentral:rRNA from 1 species
GACGAACGCUGGCGGCGUGCUUAACACAUGCAAGUCGAACGAAGUGGCGAACGGGUGAGUAACGCGUAAUCAACUUGCCCUUCAGAGGGGGACAACAGUUGGAAACGACUGCUAAUACCGCAUACUGAUGGGGGGGAUUGCGGCGGAUUAGCUAGUUGGAGGGGUAAAGGCCCACCGAGGCGAGGGUCAGUAGCCGGGCUGGGAGGAGGAACGAGCAAAUUGGGACUGAGACACGGCCCAGACUCCUACGGGAGGCAGCAGUGGGGAAUCUUCCGCAAUGGACGAAAGUCUGACGAAGCAACGCCGCGUGAGUGAUGACGGCCUUCGGGUUGUAAAGCUCUGUUAAUCGGGACGCGGUACCGGAAUAGAAAGCCACGGCUAACUACGUGCCAGCAGCCGCGGUAAUAC